rnacentral:rRNA from 1 species
CGCGGCCUAUCAGCUUGUUGGUGAGGUAACGGCUCGCCAAGGCAACGACGGGUAGCUGGUCUGAGAGGACGAUCAGCCACACUGGAACUGAGAUACGGUCCAGACUCCUACGGGAGGCAGCAGCAGGGAAUCUUGCGCAAUGGGCGAAAGCCUGACGCAGCGACGCCGCGUGGGGGAUGAAGGCCUUAGGGUUGUAAACCCCUUUCACGAGGGAAGAAGAUGACGGUACCUCGAGAAGAAGCCCCGGCCAACUACGUGCCAGCAGCCGCGGUAAGACGUGGGGGGCGAGCGUUGUCCGGAUUUAUUGGGCGUAAAGGGCUCGUAGGCGGCUUGACAAGUCGGCCGUGAAAACCCAGGGCUCAACCCUGGGACGCCGGUCGAUACUGUCAUGGCUAGGGUCCGGUAGAGGGGAAUGGAAUUCCCGGUGUAGCGGUGAAAUGCGCAGAUAUCGGGAGGAACACCAGUAGCGAAGGCGGUUCCCUGGGCCGGUACCGACGCUGAGGAGCGAAAGCGUGGGUAGCAAACAGGAUUAGAUACCCUGGUAGUCCACGCCGUAAACGUUGGGUACUAGGCGUGGCGUCUUAUCAACGGAUGCCGUGCUCGAAGCUAACGCGUUAAGUACCCCGCCUGGGGAGUACGG